rnacentral:lncRNA from 1 species
CACACUACCAAAGCAAUACUUAAUUUUAAUUAAAAAUUAUAUCUCAUUUAUACAAAGGCAAAAAUUGAUUUGACGCAUAUUGUCACUAUACAGAGGCAAAAAUGAAAAAUUAAUAAGAAAAUUCCAAAAUUGAACAAUAUUUACUCAUGUUUGGCUCAAGAUGUAAAGAGAUCUGAGCAUAAACUUCAUGUAUCUCUUGCUUUGCCUAUAAAUUGAAAGAAACAAAAAUGGAAAAAAGAAAAAUUAAAAGAGCAUCUUAAUCAAAAUAGGAAAAGGAAAAUUGCAAAUAAAAUAAGCAAAAAGCACAAAUCUGUAGUUGAAUGUGAACAACUUGGCAAAUGAUAUUAGAAGGAAGAUUAAACCGUGAGAUCUCAUAAGUUAGCUCCUAUUUCUUGAUGCUUCUAGCUGUAGAUAACCAAACCACAUAACUAGAGGGGAGGUGAAAGAGAAGCAUAACUGGAGAGGGCUGAAAGAGGAUUACAAACUAUUAUGGUUCAAAGUCGUUGCCAUUGCUAGUUCAAGGUUACUGGCGGUGGUGGGUGGAUAAGGAGGAGGAGAUGGAAAUAACAAGCGAAAGGAAGAAGACAAAUUGGUCUUGUGUUGG